rnacentral:rRNA from 1 species
GAGAGUUUGAUCCUGGCUCAGAUUGAACGCUGGCGGCAGGCUUAACACAUGCAAGUCGAGCGGAGUGAUGGUGCUUGCACUAUCACUUAGCGGCGGACGGGUGAGUAAUGCUUAGGAAUCUGCCUAUUAGUGGGGGACAACAUUUCGAAAGGAAUGCUAAUACCGCAUACGUCCUACGGGAGAAAGCAGGGGAUCUUCGGACCUUGCGCUAAUAGAUGAGCCUAAGUCGGAUUAGCUAGUUGGUGGGGUAAAGGCCUACCAAGGCGACGAUCUGUAGCGGGUCUGAGAGGAUGAUCCGCCACACUGGGACUGAGACACGGCCCAGACUCCUACGGGAGGCAGCAGUGGGGAAUAUUGGACAAUGGGCGCAAGCCUGAUCCAGCCAUGCCGCGUGUGUGAAGAAGGCCUUAUGGUUGUAAAGCACUUUAAGCGAGGAGGAGGCUACUGAAGUUAAUACCUUCAGAUAGUGGACGUUACUCGCAGAAUAAGCACCGGCUAACUCUGUGCCAGCAGCCGCGGUAAUACAGAGGGUGCAAGCGUUAAUCGGAUUUACUGGGCGUAAAGCGCGCGUAGGCGGCUAAUUAAGUCAAAUGUGAAAUCCCCGAGCUUAACUUGGGAAUUGCAUUCGAUACUGGUUAGCUAGAGUGUGGGAGAGGAUGGUAGAAUUCCAGGUGUAGCGGUGAAAUGCGUAGAGAUCUGGAGGAAUACCGAUGGCGAAGGCAGCCAUCUGGCCUAACACUGACGCUGAGGUGCGAAAGCAUGGGGAGCAAACAGGAUUAGAUACCCUGGUAGUCCAUGCCGUAAACGAUGUCUACUAGCCGUUGGGGCCUUUGAGGCUUUAGUGGCGCAGCUAACGCGAUAAGUAGACCGCCUGGGGAGUACGGUCGCAAGACUAAAACUCAAAUGAAUUGACGGGGGCCCGCACAAGCGGUGGAGCAUGUGGUUUAAUUCGAUGCAACGCGAAGAACCUUACCUGGCCUUGACAUAGUAAGAACUUUCCAGAGAUGGAUUGGUGCCUUCGGGAACUUACAUACAGGUGCUGCAUGGCUGUCGUCAGCUCGUGUCGUGAGAUGUUGGGUUAAGUCCCGCAACGAGCGCAACCCUUUUCCUUAUUUGCCAGCGAGUAAUGUCGGGAACUUUAAGGAUACUGCCAGUGACAAACUGGAGGAAGGCGGGGACGACGUCAAGUCAUCAUGGCCCUUACGGCCAGGGCUACACACGUGCUACAAUGGUCGGUACAAAGGGUUGCUACCUAGCGAUAGGAUGCUAAUCUCAAAAAGCCGAUCGUAGUCCGGAUUGGAGUCUGCAACUCGACUCCAUGAAGUCGGGAUCGCUAGUAAUCGCGGAUCAGAAUGCCGCGGUGAAUACGUUCCCGGGCCUUGUACACACCGCCCGUCACACCAUGGGAGUUUGUUGCACCAGAAGUAGGUAGUCUAACCGCAAGGAGGACGCUUACCACGGUGUGGCCGAUGACUGGGGUGAAGUCGUAACAAGGUAGCCGUAGGGGAACCUGCGGCUGGAUCACCUCCUUUCU